GACGAACCGAGCGAACGUUAUUCGGAAUCACUGGGCUUAAAGGGCGCGUAGGCGGGCCGGCAAGUCAGGGGUGAAAGCCCCCAGCUCAACUGGGGAAGUGCCUCUGAUACUGCCGGCCUCGAGGGAGGUAGGGGCGUGCGGAACUUCCGGUGGAGCGGUGAAAUGCGUAGAUAUCGGAAGGAACACCGGUGGCGAAAGCGGCGCGCUGGACCUCUUCUGACGAUGAGGCGCGAAAGCCAGGGGAGCAAACGGG
rnacentral:rRNA from 1 species